GAUGAACGCUGGCGGCGUGCCUAAUACAUGCAAGUCGAGCGAAUGGAUUAAGAGCUUGCUCUUAUGAAGUUAGCGGCGGACGGGUGAGUAACACGUGGGUAACCUGCCCAUAAGACUGGGAUAACUCCGGGAAACCGGGGCUAAUACCGGAUAACAUUUUGAACCGCAUGGUUCGAAAUUGAAAGGCGGCUUCGGCUGUCACUUAUGGAUGGACCCGCGUCGCAUUAGCUAGUUGGUGAGGUAACGGCUCACCAAGGCAACGAUGCGUAGCCGACCUGAGAGGGGGAUCGGACACACUGGGACUGAGACACGGCCCAGACUCCUACGGGAGGCAGCAGUAGGGAAUCUUCCGCAAUGGACGAAAGUCUGACGGAGCAACGCCGCGUGAGUGAUGAAGGCUUUCGGGUCGUAAAACUCUGUUGUUAGGGAAGAACAAGUGCUAGUUGAAUAAGCUGGCACCUUGACGGUACCUAACCAGAAAGCCACGGCUAACUACGUGCCAGCAGCAGCCGCAG
rnacentral:rRNA from 1 species